rnacentral:rRNA from 1 species
GCUUACGGCCAUACCAACCUGGCGAUGCCCGAUCUCGUCUGAUCUCGGAAGCUAAGCAGGCUUGGGCCUGGUUAGUACUUGGAUGGGAGACCGCCUGGGAAUACCAGGUGCUGUAAGCU